GUAGUCAUAUGCUUGUCUCAAAGAUUAAGCCAUGCAUGUCUCAGUGCAAGCCGUCCAGUACGGUGAAACCGCGAAAGGCUCAUUAAAUCAGUUAUGGUUCCUUAGAUCGUACCCACACUUACUUGGAUAACUGUGGUAAUUCUAGAGCUAAUACAUGCCGACAGAGUUCCGACCAGCGUCGUUGUUGCGCGGCGGACUUCGCGUUCGUCGCCGCUACGUUCGUUCGGAAGGAACGCUUUUAUUAGAUCAAAACCGGCUAAGCUAGCGACCGCUUUCGAGCGCGUUCGCUAGUAAACGGCCCGCGCAAAGACUUGACGACUCUGAAUAACUUUUAGCUGAUCGCACGGUCUCGUACCGGCGACGUAUCUUUCAAAUGUCUGCCUUAUCAACUGUCGACGGUAGGUUCGACGCCUACCGUGGUGGUAACGGGUAACGGGGAAUUAGGGUUCGAUUCCGGAGAGGGAGCCUGAGAAACGGCUACCACUUCUAAGGAAGGCAGCAGGCGCGCAAAUUACCCACUCCCAGCUCGGGGAGGUAGUGACGAAAAAUAACGAUACGGGACUCAUCCGAGGCCCCGUAAUCGGAAUGAGUACACUUUAAAACCUUGGUCACACGAGGAUCAAUUGGAGGGCAAGUCU
rnacentral:rRNA from 1 species